rnacentral:rRNA from 1 species
GACGAACGCUGGCGGCGUGCUUAACACAUGCAAGUCGAACGGAAAGGCCCUGCUUGCAGGGUACUCGAGUGGCGAACGGGUGAGUAACACGUGGGUGAUCUGCCCUGCACUUCGGGAUAAGCCUGGGAAACUGGGUCUAAUACCGGAUAUGACCUUCCAUGUAGUGUGGGGGGUGGAAAGAUUUAUCGGUGUGGGAUGAGCCCGCGGCCUAUCAGCUUGUUGGUGGGGUAAUGGCCUACCAAGGCGUCGACGGGUAGCCGGCCUGAGAGGGUGGACGGCCACAUUGGGACUGAGAUACGGCCCAGACUCCUACGGGAGGCAGCAGUGGGGAAUAUUGCACAAUGGGCGGAAGCCUUAUGCAGCGACGCCGCGUGGGGGAUGACGGCCUUCGGGUUGUAAACCUCCUUCGACAGGGACGAAGCUUCGGUGACGGUACCUGUAUAAGAAGCACCGGCUAACUACGCG